rnacentral:lncRNA from 9 species
GGAAGUAAAAAGGAAAGCUUCCCGUUGUGAAUGGUCUCUUUUGUUGAUGGCAGUUCACCGCCAGUUGCAAUGUUGGUGUUUUCGAGAGAGGAGGAUUCACCACCACAACAAAUGUAUUCGAAGGUAUUCCACACGGUGCUUUAUUGCUGGUGUCUUGUGAGUCUGCAAUCUCACACUGAACUUCAACUGAACACCCAGCUGUUGCUCAGGCACAGAACAAGGUCUGUAGCCCUCUUCCUGCAAUGGAAGCACUAUAAUCCUGGAAAAUUCAGACUCCCUCAAACAACCACACCCCUGUCUUCUGCCCUGGAGCCACUCUCAUUGGCCACUUGCCAUCUUCUCUGCCUUAUAUCAUGGGCGUAAACUCAAGUCAGCUUGCUUUCCGACCUCAAGCCGUAUGCCUCUGAGCUGAUGGCUAAUAGCAUCCGUUCUUUCUGCGGCUCUGGAAGCCUCGAGUGCCAGGGUGCUGAACGGCUGGAGCAGGCUGGGAUGGGGAAGGUCCUCUGGCCUUGGUCCCUGCAGGUACCAGCUAAGACACGUGCCCUGUCUCGGAGUGUCCCCACAGGUCCCCUGUUGUCCGCUGCUGGCUGUCGUGACAGCGUGGGGAAUCCUCAGCAAGGCUGCCUUUGAUUCCGGCUGCCCCCAUGGGCAUUUUCUGUCUGGGACGGUGACUGUGCUGCAGGCUAGGCACAGGUCUUUGCUGCUCCUGGAACCCAUGACCUCUCAUGUUUUCUUCUUGAUGCCAUCUGUUCAAAACUUUCCAGUCUGAGAAUGACAUGGCUUGUCUUUCUUUAAUCUUCUCCACUUCGCUCCAACCCCAAGUUUCCCUAAGGGCCUAAGCUUUUGGAACAAGAAGAUAAAAUACUUUGUCUUUUUAGGGCCACACCCGGCAUAUGGAAGUUCCCAGGUUAGGGGUCAAAUCGGAGCUGAAGCUGCGGACUUCACCACAGUCACGGCAACACCCAAUCCUUAACCCACUGAGUGAGGCCAGGGAUUGAACCUGCGUCCUCAUGGAUGCCAGUGGGGUUCUUAACCUGCUGAGCCAUGACUGGAACUCCAGAGUGUGUGGGAUUUUAAAACUGUGUUUCAUAAAACGGAAAGGCUUUGGUCCAGAUCAUGAAGAGGACGGAGGAUGAAGUGACCAUCUGACUGUGGCAGAGAAGGGGUUAGACACCCUAAUAGAGCACGUCUCCUACCCCGAAGGCCACCAUGCUUCUCCUGCCCCUCGUCCCUCACAGCAGCUUCUCCUCUAAGCAGAGGCACCUAAGGCCUAGCUUAAGGUGUAAAUGUUCUAUUGAGUGAUGAUUUUAGGUGACCUUGGCUACCCAGCAGAGAGCAAACCCUGAAGGAAUGAGACACAGGACAAGUGUGUUUGGGGUUUUGGCUGUGCAGCAGCUUGAUGUGGGAUCUCAGUUCCCUGACCUGGGAUUGAACCCAGCCUGCAGAUGAAAGUGCUGAGUUCCAACCACCAGACCCCCAGGGAACUGCCAGGACAGGUGAGUUUUGGUGGAAGAAGGUGGGAGGGGGAUGGAAAAGGCCACAGCCUAGCCUGGGCGACUGGGGUGAGACGUAGAAACCGCCAGGUGAGUCGAUGCUUGUGUCCAGGACGGUGGGCCCGAGUUUGUGCAAAAGGGAUCAUAGGAGCCACCAGCUUUUCUGCGCGCUGUCCCAUGAGAGCUUGAUCCCUUCUCCAUUCAACUCCGCAGGGGGUCUGCAGGGGCUCCAAUAGCUCCCCAAGGCUUGGCCUUGUGGGGGGGCCCCUCCCCCAGAGGGCUGCACAUGGGUGGGGGAGGGGAAGCAGCUCUUUUCUGCUCCAAACCCGGUUUCCCACGGCUCCCCUCAGUGUUCUCCACACCUCCCCACCUCUCGCAGCCCUGAACCUUGGCCAGACCUUUAACUCUUUGUAUUUUUCCCCCAGAUGUAGCAAAUGAAAUUCUUUUUAACAAUUGAGACAAUUGAUUGCUAAGGUUAUGACUUUCAGGCGGGCAGCGUAAGGUUCACUGUGUAUACCAAACACAGACAGGGCACCCAACGGCCUGCCAGCCCAGGGUCCCCACCCUGGAGCCACUGGCUUAACGUUUGCUCAGCUGAAAUGGACCUGCAGUCAGGCCCUGGUGCUGGAAUUUGGGUCCAUCUCACCAAGCUUUUUAAUAUCCUCCCACAAGCCUCAGGCUCUAAAACGGAUAAAUCACUCUGACGCAGGAGGUUCUCAUUCCUUGUCUUGGCUUUUCUAACUGCUCCAUCCGGCUGGCCCACCCACAGGCAGCAAGGAGCCGGUAGCAAAGGAAACGGCCCCUCUUGUCCUCAGGCUGGACAUUCACAUGCUUUUAUGGAAUAAGCAUUUUGGGCCAGGACUGGACAACAGAGCGGAUUCCUGAUGAGAGAUGGCGAAAGGAACCAUGUGCUGGCCAGGGCGAGGGUCCCAGGCCCUCUGCCCUGUGGACAGGCGGCUGCUCAGCUGCUCUGGCUGCGUCAGACCUGUUCCUGCAGUGCCUUCCCCAGACCGUGACCGUGAAAGGCAAGUUCCCUGCUUAUUAUCCUUGUUUAGACUCAGCUCCACUUGUACCGCCACCUCUCAUGUUGCUCCUAUUGUUUUGGAACUUCCCGGGCUUUGAAGAUGGUCUGUGACUUAUUUAUUAAUUACUAGCCUCAGAUUCUUGGCUCAUUAACUCUUUCACCCUUACGGCUCCCCAUUGUUGGUGCAAGUGGAAUAACUUAGUUGAAAUGGAUUUGAAUGAUCUAAACCUGCCAAGGGUUCUGGUGGUUGCUGUUUGACCUUGUGGUGCACCUGUGACAAAUGUUGUCUGAAGCCCAGACAGGACACAAGAAAGGAGAUUUUAAAUCCACUGUCCUGGGAAUGGGCUGAAUGGUCACUUUAUGUAUAUUGCAUAUUAUUUGGAUAACGCAAUCAUUUUCCUAACCUUGUUUUCCUCAGACAGAUGUUAUAACUUCUUGUGUAACCUCACACCAGAGCAAAGGCCCUACAUGUAGUUGUGGGAAAGAAGGGGAGAGAAAGCUGACUCAGGUGUUGCGAAUGAGUGUUUCAGAGUUAUAGGUGCUCCUGAUCUGAAAUUAUAUUUUAUUGUAGUCUAUUAUAUAACAUGUAUUAAUAUAAUAUAG